rnacentral:rRNA from 1 species
CCUACGGGAGGCAGCAGUGAGGAAUAUUGGUCAAUGGCCGUAAGGCUGAACCAGCCAAGUCGCGUGAAGGAAGAAGGAUCUCUGGUUUGUAAACUUCUUUUAUAGGGGAAUAAAGGUGUCCACGUGUGGAUUUUUGCAUGUACCCUAUGAAUAAGCAUCGGCUAACUCUGGUUCAGGAGCCGCGGUAAUACGGAGGAUGCGGGCGUUAUCCGGAUUUGUUUGGUUUAAAGGGUGCGUAGGUUGUUUUUUAAGUCCGCAGGGAAAGUUUGUGGCUCAACCAUAAAAUUGCCGUUGAAACUGGAAGACUUGAGUGUGAUUGAGGUAGGCGGAAUGCGUGGUGUAGCGGUGAAAUGCAUAGAUAUAACGCAGAACUCCGAUUGCGAAGGCAGCUUACUAAGCCAUAACUGACACUGAAGCACGAAAGCGUGGGGAUCAAACAGGAUUAGAUACCCUGGUAGUC